rnacentral:rRNA from 1 species
UACGUAGGGGGCAAGCGUUGUCCGGAUUUAUUGGGCGUAAAGAGCGUGUAGGCGGCCUUACAGGUCAGCUGUGAAAACUCGAGGCUCAACCUCGAGACGUCGGUUGAAACCGUAUGGCUAGAGUCCGGAAGAGGAGAGUGGAAUUCCCGGUGUAGCGGUGAAAUGCGCAGAUAUCGGGAAGAACACCCGUGGCGAAGGCGACUACCUGGCCUGUUCUUGACGCUGAGG